rnacentral:snRNA from 1 species
GGGCUCGCAUUGGCAGCACAGACACUAAAAUUGGAACGAUGCAGAGAAGAUUAGCACGGCCCCUGUGCAAGGACGACANGCAUAAUGAGUGAAGCAUUUCAUAUAUUU